rnacentral:rRNA from 1 species
GACGAACGCUGUCGGCGUGCUUAACACAUGCAAGUCGAGCGGUAAGGCCCUUUCGGGGGUACACGAGCGGCGAACGGGUGAGUAACACGUGGGUGACCUGCCCUCAGCUCUGGGAGUAAGCCUGGGAAACCGGGUCUAAUACUGGAUAUGACUCCAUGACGCAUGUUGUGGGGUGGAAAGCCUUGUGCGGCUGAGGAUGGGCCCGCGGCCUAUCAGCUUGUUGGUGGGGUGAUGGCCUACCAAGGCGACGACGGGUAGCCGGCCUGAGAGGGCGACCGGCCGACACUGGGACUGAGGAC